ensembl:lncRNA
AGAAAAUUAGCAAACAUGAAUAAAUGGCGAAAACAAUAUAAUUAUAACAUAUAUUUUUAUUUUACUUAUUUUAGGUCUGUGAAGCCAAACUUGAUGCUGGGGAUUUAUUUUUGUCAGUGGAGUCAAAUGGUUGAAGCAGAAUUUGCCCGUCUUACAUCUGUUGACCUGAAAGGGUUCCUUUUGCUGUGCUUGACCAUUAUGGAGAGGUUCGUGGAGCUGUACAAAAUCAAGAGCGGCAUAGGAGGGCUAACUAGGCUCAUAAAAUGCUUCGGUGAUGAUAGCCCUACACAAAGGAAGAGGACAGAGGACCUCAUUUUCUAAAGGAAGAUCCCUCACACACUUUCAAGACUGUGAAGCCGACAGGUAUUGAAGACACGUUUUCUAAGAGGAUGAAAGUUGGCAUUGCGAUGGUGAAAGAAGAAGACAUCAUCGAUGUGUUGGUUGUCCUUGAGGCGGCAGUAAUCCUGUCUAAUCUGAGGGAUGUCUCAA